GACGAACGCUGGCGGCGUGCUUAACACAUGCAAGUCGAACGGAAAGGCCCUGCUUUUGUGGGGUGCUCGAGUGGCGAACGGGUGAGUAACACGUGAGUAACCUGCCCUUGACUUUGGGAUAACUUCAGGAAACUGGGGCUAAUACCGGAUAGGAGCUCCUGCUGCAUGGUUGGGGUUGGAAAGUUUCGGCGGUUGGGGAUGGACUCGCGGCUUAUCAGCUUGUUGGUGGGGUAGUGGCUUACCAAGGCUUUGACGGGUAGCCGGCCUGAGAGGGUGACCGGCCACAUUGGGACUGAGAUACGGCCCAGACUCCUACGGGAGGCAGCAGUGGGGAAUAUUGCACAAUGGGCGGAAGCCUGAUGCAGCAACGCCGCGUGCGGGAUGAAGGCCUUCGGGUUGUAAACCGCUUUCGCCUGUGACGAAGCGUGAGUGACGGUAAUGGGUAAAGAAGCACCGGCUAACUACGUG
rnacentral:rRNA from 1 species